CUGACAGCACAGAAAACUGAAGUCCUCUUUUUGUCCACUAAACAGGUACAGCAUGAGUAGCAGCAGUACAAGCUUCACCACACUGCCCCACCUAAGUGCUGCAAACCCUGACCUAGAGACCUCUAGCAAGGGUUAAGAGGCUUGUUCAGCCUCCAUGCUCACUCAUUCGUUACU
ensembl:misc_RNA